rnacentral:tRNA from 1 species
GCCGCGGUGGCGGAAUUGGCAGACGCGCUAGCUUCAGGAGCUAGUGGGGGCAACUUCGUGAGGGUUCGAGUCCCUCCCGCGGCACCA